GGGUGCAGCCGGGCCCGGGCAGCCCGCGGGCUCUCGGCGGCGACCAGCGGACGGCCAGGUGCGGAGGGCAGCCAGCCACACAGAUGACCCCAAGGUGAUCCUGCACAAGAAAAGCCAUCACGGAGAACACCCCCAUGAAGCCUCCUUACACCAAAGCACCAAGAUUCUGUUGUGGAUUUGGAGCUGGUAUCACUAGCCCUCAACCCGACAGGACCACUCCCAGGUACCCAAACCAUCUGUUAAUGAAAACUGCCAGAAGAGGCAAGUGCUGCUAAUUCAUUUUUCAAAAGCAAGAGGUGAGGUGUGGGAUCACCCACUAAUAGUGAUCCCAAUCUCUGGGUAGUCUUCUGGAUAAAACAAGUUUAGACAGGUUGAGAGGUUGGUGGCUGCGAACUUUCAACCAAGCAGGAAGGACAUAACGGUAUUCGCAUAACAAAGUUCUUCAAUUUGUAUGAAUGCAUUGAAACUCAGAAGUUAGAAUUUUGGUGUAAAGGGGGCAUCCGUGAGUACAUUACAUCUAACCAUCUACAACUACUUCCAUUUUUCAUUGACUAAUAAAGAUGUUUAAUGUUCAUCUUAAA